rnacentral:rRNA from 1 species
UAGGGAAUCUUCGGCAAUGGACGGAAGUCUGACCGAGCAACGCCGCGUGAGUGAAGAAGGUUUUCGGAUCGUAAAGCUCUGUUGUAAGAGAAGAACGAGUGUGAGAGUGGAAAGUUCACACUGUGACGGUAUCUUACCAGAAAGGGACGGCUAACUACGUGCCAGCAGCCGCGGUAAUACGUAGGUCCCGAGCGUUGUCCGGAUUUAUUGGGCGUAAAGCGAGCGCAGGCGGUUAGAUAAGUCUGAAGUUAAAGGCUGUGGCUUAACCAUAGUACGCUUUGGAAACUGUUUAACUUGAGUGCAAGAGGGGAGAGUGGAAUUCCAUGUGUAGCGGUGAAAUGCGUAGAUAUAUGGAGGAACACCGGUGGCGAAAGCGGCUCUCUGGCUUGUAACUGACGCUGAGGCCCGAAAGCGUGGGGAGCAAACAGGAUUAGAUACCCUGGUAGUCCACGCCGUAAACGAUGAGUGCUAGGUGUUAGACCCUUUCCGGGGUUUAGUGCCGUAGCUAACGCAUUAAGCACUCCGCCUGGGGAGUACGACCGCAAGGUUG